rnacentral:rRNA from 1 species
AACGAACGCUGGCGGCAGGCUUAACACAUGCAAGUCGAGCGCCCCGCAAGGGGAGCGGCAGACGGGUGAGUAACGCGUGGGAACGUACCCUUUGCUACGGAAUAGCUCCGGGAAACUGGAAUUAAUACCGUAUGUGCCCUACGGGGGAAAGAUUUAUCGGCAAAGGAUCGGCCCGCGUUGGAUUAGCUAGUGGGUGGGGUAAUGGCCUAACAAGGAGACGAUCCAUAGCUGGUCUGAGAGGAUGAUCAGCCACAUUGGGACUGAGACACGGCCCAAACUCCUACGGGAGGCAGCAGUGGGGAAUAUUGGACAAUGGGCGCAAGCCUGAUCCAGCCAUGCCGCGUGAGUGAUGAAGGCCUUAGGGUUGUAAAGCUCUUUCACCGGAGAAGAUAAUGACGGUAUCCGGAGAAGAAGCCCCGGCUAACUUCGUGCCAGCCGCCGCAGUAAGAC